UUGUAGCAAAAUGGCGACUGUCAUUCACAACCCCCUGAAAGCGCUUGGGGACCAGUUCUACAAGGAAGCCAUUGAGCACUGCCGCAGCUAUAAUUCGCGGCUCUGCGCAGAGCGCAGUGUGCGCCUCCCCUUUCUGGACUCGCAGACCGGGGUGGCCCAGAACAACUGCUACAUCUGGAUGGAGAAGAGGCACCGCGGCCCAGGCCUUGCCCCGGGCCAGCUAUACACAUACCCUGCCCGCUGCUGGCGUAAGAAGAGACGAUUGCACCCGCCUGAGGAUCCUAAACUUCGGCUGCUGGAAAUAAAACCUGAAGUGGAGCUGCCCCUGAAGAAGGAUGGCUUCACCUCAGAAAGCACCACCCUGGAAGCCUUGCUCCGGGGUGAGGGUGUGGAGAAGAAGGUGGAUGCCAGAGAGGAGGAAAGCAUGCAGGAGAUACAGAGGGUUUUGGAAAAUGAUGAAAAUGUAGAAGAAGGAAACGAAGAAGAAGAUUUAGAAGAAGAUAUCCCCAAGCGCAAGAACAGGACCCGAGGACGGGCCCGUGGCUCGGCAGGUGGCAGGAGGAGGCACGACGCUGCCUCCCAGGAAGACCACGACAAACCUUACGUCUGUGACAUCUGCGGCAAGCGCUACAAGAACCGGCCAGGACUUAGCUACCACUACGCUCACACUCACCUGGCCAGUGAGGAGGGAGAUGAGGCUCAAGACCAGGAGACCCGGUCCCCGCCCAACCACAGAAAUGAGAACCACAGACCCCAGAAAGGACCGGAUGGGACAGUCAUUCCCAACAACUACUGUGACUUCUGCUUGGGGGGCUCUAAUAUGAACAAGAAGAGUGGGCGGCCUGAAGAGCUGGUAUCCUGUGCAGACUGUGGACGAUCUGCUCAUUUGGGAGGAGAAGGCAGGAAGGAGGAGGCAGCGGCCGCAGCACGCACCACGGAGGACUUAUUCGGUUCCACGUCAGAAAGUGACACGUCAACUUUCCACGGCUUUGAUGAGGACGAUUUGGAAGAGCCUCGCUCCUGCCGAGGACGCCGCAGUGGCCGGGGUUCGCCCACAGCAGAUAAAAAGGGCAGUUGCUAAACCCACGGAACAGACUCUCUGGGCGACUAGCCGUCACCCUCUGACUUUGGUCAUUAUUCUGGGUCUGAUAUAUAUUUUUUUUAAAUGAAAGUCAACUUUAGGUUUUCCCUUCAUCUUUGCUUUUUCCUCUCUCCUUCCACACGCAUCCUCUCCCCCGCCCCCCGUUUUGGGUAUGUACAACAGAAGCACAAACUCCUGAAACAAAGCAGAACAAAAGAGCAGAAUGACAGUCCUUCAGAGAGAUGGCAUUGGGACGCACUGUUAAUUUUCCGUAGAAAUGGGAAGUUAGGUGGAUUGUCUCUCUUUGGGGAUGGGUGGUGGGGAUCUUUUUGACUUGAGCAGAGUCGAUUUCCUCAGUUUUCCUAUUUAUUGGCAAAAUGAAGAGAGGAGGAACAUUGGGUUUGAAAACAACAAAUAACAUUAAAAAUGAUUAUUUAUGUAUUCUAGCUAUUAUUAGAAAUGGACCUUUUUUUUUGAGAGAGAGAGAGAGAGAGAGAGAGAGAGAAAGCAAAUCAAAGCAAUUGAAGUGAUAUCCUGCUUGGGAGAGAGCCGCUGGGGGAGGGAUUGAUUCAAGGACACCUAGUCGGGAGGAUUUCCUCGCUGGGAGAUGAUGGUGCUUUCUGUACCCCACGGAGUGUGUGGCUCCCUACGGCAGACCCCUUCCCCAUUUCUGCUCCCUAACCUUUCCAUCUUCCUCCCUGCUUGUGAGAAAAUGUCAGCAGCUCCUGGGAAGUCUGGGCCUCCGCGUGUGGCCUCCCUCCAGUGCCUGGGCCCUGACUCCAGCACCUCCCGGGCUCCUCCCCUCCACCAGCAUAGCUGGCUGUGGUGUAGUCGCUGGGCUUCUCCUCACUUUCCUCCUGGCGAAGAGCAAUUUCCAAAUGCAGGAAUGGAAUAUAAACAGAAAGUCAUGGACUCAGCAGUGACAAAGCAAGCCGAGGCCGUGCUCAUGGAAGGAAGAAUGAUACCUCACAGUAUAUGUCCCUCUCCCCUGGCCCCUGUUGACAAACAUAAAUUCCCGUUGGAUGAUCAAGUCUCCCGUGUUUCUUCCUCUAUUUUUUUUUAUAGUGCCCUCCAGGCACCUUGUUUUAUGUUUCCAAUAGCACCUCCUGAAAUAAACCAAAGCAACACUUGCUCAAGGUCCCUGGGCGAUGGAGAAGACCAUCCACCUUGUUGGCAGUCCCAAGAAUGAACAGCUGUGCAGUCCUAGUCAAAAGUCAACUCUAUGACCUGGGGACUCCGGCAUCCUCCAAGCAAGCCAUUUCCGAAGAGAGUGACAAGAAGCCACGUUGAUUUGUGCCUCCUUCUUCUCCUCCUUCCUCUUCCCUUGCCUGGCCCCCUCCUGUGCGUGUGUUUCAGCCAACACAGGAGCCUGGAUUGUGGAAACGCCUCCAGCGCGACUCAGCUCAGCUCAGAGAAGUCUCGGGAAUGGCCUAAGUUUGUGCAAUAAGAAGAUUUUUUUUUUUCCUUUUUAAAAAUUCUUCAUUACAUUUUCUUUAAGUGUCUGUGAGAAAGUACCCAGGUCAGACUGGAAUUGCUCUACAAUAGAAAUAACUAAACACGAACAAACUGACGGAAAAAAAAGAGUUAACUAUUUUAUUUAUUUCAAUAUUUAAAAGAAAAAAGUGCUGACGUGGCACAGUAUUUUUGUUUAAAGUACCUUCUACUUCGAAAGUUAAAAGCAAUUUUGUGAAGACACGAAAUCAAAAGAGUACUUAAUGUAAAAUAAAGACUGCAUAUUAACUCUAAGGAAAAAUACCCCACAUUUUUAAUAAGAAAAUAAAGAUCAACUCUGCUCUCUCAGGCUUUUAAAAAAGCCAUUCAUGUAUGUGCUUUAGAUAUUUUUAUUUCUGCGAGUUGGAUGUGGUAAGUGAGGAGUGAUUGGUUUUUUUUUUCCUUCUUCAAAAUUCUAUUGAAAGUGUUGGUGAUGUUAUGUGGUUAUGUGUUAAGACGUGACCGAAAUAAAUUAGCCACAAAGGCUAUCAGCAGUCUCUCCGCCCCUGCCCCCUGCCAAAAAAACUCCUUUCCCCACCCCCCUCCCCAUAGGCAAUCCCCAUUUAUCUGGAUGUCAAUAAGCAGCUCGCCUUCUGGUCGUCAUGUCUGAUGAGGCCUAGUUCAGAAAGGAAUUCCAUCUAGUGAUUAACCAUAUCUCUGCGAGGGCAACAUUUUCAAAUACAGACAGCUUUGUUUAAAAUAAUGCAGUGAAGAAAGAGAAAAAAAAAAGAUGACAAAAUAUGCAUCAGCUGAGAUGAUGUUCAUUUGGUCACCUAACAACUUCCAGAGGAGACUUGCAGAGGGAGCCUUCUGCUGAGCUGGCUUUAGGGGCCCUAAAGUUCUAGAGGGUCUCCAAGGACGAGGAAGGCCAACCUGAGUGACAGAAGCCUCAAAUUCAGUUGCUCGUGAGGGUAAAGGAGAAAGGCUCAUUUUCUAACAUGUUCCCUUGUGGCCAUGUGGGUGGCAGUGAACGUGAUGGCCUAAGAAAUGUUAAUUCAGCUCUGUGUCUGUGGCCUAGGGACGGAGCUGGGCUGCCUGGCCAGGCUACUCCGUUCUAUUCCACAUCUUCUGCAUGUCCAUGCUCUUGACCUUCCCUCACUUGCAAGCAGAAUCAUCAUCAUGAACAUACAGCCUAACGCCGGAUAUUCCCGUCAGUGAGUCCUUGAGUGUCCGUGUUACUGAAAUGGGUCUGAGCUUGAGAAUCUCUCUUGCCUUUGAAAGGGGAGAUUGGAUGGCACAGACUUCCUGCUAGCCCCUUCAGCUUUCUCAUUCAAGGCCAGUCCCGGGAGGAGCUCACCAAGGGUGUCUUUGUAUCCUGUAGCCCUUUUCGGUGACAUUUUCUGAUAGAAAAGGUCCCUUUUCAAAAUGCUAAUAAUUAUAAUAAUAACCCACUCUCCAACCAACUCCCGCAAGUUAUAAUGUGUAGAAUUGUGAUAAAGCUUUGCAUAAUGUAGGGUUUGUAUCAAAUUUGUGUAAGUUUCUGUUAAAUAAAAGCCUGUUUCCAAUGCUCC